AGUGAACGCUGGCGGCAGGCCUAACACAUGCAAGUCGAACGGCAGCACAGUAAGAGCUUGCUCUUACGGGUGGCGAGUGGCGGACGGGUGAGGAAUACAUCGGAAUCUACUUUUUCGUGGGGGAUAACGUAGGGAAACUUACGCUAAUACCGCAUGCGACCUACGGGUGAAAGCAGGGGAUCUUCGGACCUUGCGCGAUUGAAUGAGCCGAUGUCGGAUUAGCUAGUUGGCGGGGUAAAGGCCCACCAAGGCGACGAUCCGUAGCUGGUCUGAGAGGAUGAUCAGCCACACUGGAACUGAGACACGGUCCAGACUCCUACGGGAGGCAGCAGUGGGGAAUAUUGGACAAUGGGCGCAAGCCUGAUCCAGCCAUACCGCGUGGGUGAAGAAGGCCUUCGGGUUGUAAAGCCCUUUUGUUGGGAAAGAAAAGCAGCAGGUUAAUACCCCGCUGUUCUGACGGUACCCAAAGAAUAAGCACCGGCUAACUUCGUG
rnacentral:rRNA from 1 species